AGAGAUGCCUUCCUGGUUCAAUGUGCAACAGAGACUUGGCCUGCAGUCGGCACCACCGGCCUUGGAAGUGCAGACAGUUGAAUGGUGGACGGAGCUACGGUCUCUUGACGCACCAAGGAGCACCGGACUAGCAACUCUGCAACUAACAGAGUGGAAAAAGCGCCCCUUAAUGAAAAGAAAAACAGCCGGUGCAAGGCUUUAUACAAAGAAUGUGACAGCCACUGCGUGUAUCCGAGAGCCUUAUCUAAUCUACCGAGGAUUGUUGUGUAUGGAUGCGUAUAGAUUAUGCACGGACUCCUCUGUCCUAAAAUAAACGCACAUCUUGCUUCUUUAGCAGUCAAACUUCUAAGUUUAACUAAAAUUUAUAAAAAAAAUGUACUACUAUUUAUAAUGUAUAAUAAAUAUCAUUAGAUUGAGCAUUGGGUAUACUUUCCUAAUACAUUUAUUUGAAGAUGCAAAUGUUGAUACUAUUUUCUAUAUUCUUAGUCAAAUUUAAAAAUAUUUGACUCAUCGAGAAGCGAGAUGUGUGUUUAUUUUGGGACGAAAGGAGUACCCGUCACCGGGAUUAGUCAAGAUAUAAGAUUAGUCAUGAUAUAAGUAGGGAUUAGCAAGCACCAAAACCCCAUUUACUGCCUAUCGAUCGCUCAAAUAAAAGAAACCAUUGCAUAUGGUGGCGAUGCGCUCGCGGGCCUUUCUCCAACCUUUCUGCUCUCGCGGGUCUUGAACUUGCACGGAACAGUUUUAGUAAAGCUGCCUCCAACUUUAGGGAGAUUGCCAAGGUUCAUUUACCUGUCCUUAAGUGGCAAUAAGUUAGGAUCGAAUGAUAAGGACGGAUUGGAAUUCAUCACCAUGCUGGCAAACUUUAGCCAGCUUCAUCAACUGGCUUUUGACAAUAAUUCAUUCAUCGGCGAACUUCCUAGCUCAAUUGCAAAUCUAUCGACAACACACCAAUUACUCUAUAUACGAUACAAUUGGAUUUCGGGAUUUAUUCCAUCCAGCAUAGGUAAUUUGCUUGGUCUAGAACUGCUUACGUUGGCAAAUACUUUCAUAUCCGGAAUGAUUGCAGAUAGCAUUGGUCGCCUAGAAGACAUGUCCGUGUUAGGCAUUUACUACGCUGACAUGUUAGGCAUUUACUACGCUAGCUUGUCAGGUAUCAUACCUUCAUCACAAGGAAAGCUUACACAGUUGAAAACUCUCUAUGCGUACGAUAGCAACUUGGAGGGUUCAUUUCCAGCAAGCUGGGGGAACUUAAAGAAUCUUUUUGUUCUUAAUCUCUCAACGAAAGUGUGUAACCCGCUAAAGUUUCAUGUCAAAGCAGAGCAUAAAUCUCUCUCAAAACUGCAAAAUUAUCAUAAAGCAGAUCAGUCUGAGGGCCAGCCUAUGCCCUAUCAACGCCUCCCUUCUUGCCCUUUUGGUAAGAUUACCCCAAACUAGAGUCUAUAAUUAAUUAGCUAAGACUAGAGCCACGUAGUUCUUGUGGUUGUACUAUUUUCCUGAGUGGUCGCUCCAUGUUCCAAUUAAGCAUGAUGAUCUUGUAUUAAUAAAAGGUAUAUCAUAAAUAAAACAAGUUUAAUCAUUGAGUUCAUUAAAACCAUCACAAUCCAAGGUAUUGCAACUAAGCAUAUCUACCUAAAAAAAAAAGGUAAAACCCAGGUUGACAAGGAAUGAUCAUAAAAACUAGGUAAACCUUAAUAGGACCCAUCAAUAUUAAAUGCAGAGCAAUGCAAAAGUGAUUAAAUAUAGUUUUUGGGAUAAAAGUAUAAGGACACACGUGCCUUUCUCCAAAGAAUAGCUGCUCAGAUUAUCUUCAGCUCUUGUUCCUCAAAGCUCUCGAACAAUGUUCCUUCUACUUGCAUCAAUCAUCGGCACAAGCAUACCAAGCAAACAACAAUCACAACUAAGAACAAUACAUCAAUCAUUGGAAAGCUUUAAAAAAUCUAAGGUCACGCGAAUGCAAGAAAUGCUGGGAACGAAACUAUGGUUGAAAAGACAAAGUUAUCGAGAGAUUUGAAUUAUAAAAGAAAGAGAAAAGCCUAUGUGCUUCAUAUAUUUUAAUAAAACAAUGUAAAGAUAUUUUAGAGAAACAUCCUUAGCAUGUUAUAGUUAUGUAUGAAAAGACAAUGUAGAACUUAGUCAAAUUUUAUUUAUAAACAUUCAAGUACAAUUUAUGCAAAUUAAAAAUUUAAUUUGAAAAUAAAGUAUAUGUAAACAUCUAAGCGCAUAGCUUUAUGAUUUAGGUUGAACUAACCAAAUAUAAAUAAAAACACAUUUAUAUUUAUAUUAAAUCAAAUUAACAUAUAAUUAUGAAAACUCAAGAUAUAACUUAUGUAGCUUUUAUUUAGAAAACAAAUUGAAUAAACAUUUUAAUUAAAGAAGACAUGUUUAACAUGCAUUAAUUAGAUUAAUAUGAAAUUUAUUUUAAAAACAUGCAUGAUGGAAAGAUCAGCACUAACGUGUAAUUUGUGUUAUCACGAACCUAACUCAACAACAACGGAUAUAAACGGAGCUGUAACGAGGAGUCUAUGGGUUAAACAAGGUUGCAGGGCCUAAUCGCGAUUAACGGAAGGUUAUUGGGGCUAGCAAGGAAGAUUUGCAAGACACUGGAUUAGUGCUCACCAUUAGGUCAAAGCAUAGGGUUAGAUAUGUUAAAGUGCUCAGGUUAGACUUGGUUGCACGGAUCCAAUCUAAUCAGGGACAUGGAUGAAAAAAAACAAGACACAAGGAAAAACUAACUAUUUGUAGAGCUUUAUAGGGGCCUAUGCGCAAAAGCACCACAGCUCAGCAUCCAUGGCGGACGGGCUCCUGGAUGGCAAAACCCUCGUGUCGGAUUUAUAAGCCUGGUAGUCCACCAAGGGAUUCCCCAAGUGGUUGAUUUGUAGGUGAGGGUGAUUGUGAAACCAAGAACUCGAAGGUGAUCGCGAGAACACGAAGGGACACGAAGGUUUUAGACAAGUUCGGACCUUCGGAGAGUAAUACCCUACGUCCUAUAUGCUGGUUUGUAUUGCUUGAGAUUGAUCUAAUUGUUGCGAUACCCUCGGGGGUGCCCUUGGCCGCCUUAUAUAGGCUGACGAUCAAGAGUUAAAAGUCGGUUUGAAUCUAAUCUACUCGGUAGUUACAUGGAAAAUAAUCUGAGUUGGACUACAAUAUGUGUUCCAUGAUAUCUGGGUAGAUUUGAACUAUCUUGUUGCCUUGACGUGCACUCCAAGUAACUUCAUGUCCUCGGCCCGCACGCCCUGAUCGGGCAGGCCCUACUUGUUAGGUCCGACCAGUAUCCUGGCCGGUCGGGGCCCAUGGGGUACCCAUAUCCCUCAAGCCCCCAAGCAUUGUGUAGGCAAACAGGAACUUGAUGUCAUCAAAGUGAAACUUGAAAUGAAAUCGGGUGAAGCUGCGAAGGCGUCAUGGCGACGGAGAGCUCAAAAAAAGAAAAUAUGAGCAAACGAAGAGCCAACGCGUAGAGCGAGGAUGAGUGCCGAGUUGAUGGAUGCUGGCAUCCAGCAGGUCGAAUCGAAGGUUACGGAGGGCGUCGCAAGACGCACUCUGUAGGAGUAGCCCCGGAGCAUUGAAACAAUUAAGAUAAUCAAUACAAUGGUCAAAGAGGAAAAAAUUGUCCCCUGAAGCAGAUCCUUGUGCCCGAACACAAGGAUGGACGCAGCCACGGAGGCCCGCCAACCAGAAGUAGGCACCCAGACUCAAGGACGAGGACUGGUGGGACUGUGGAGCCAUGCCGACCUGAAAUAGGCAUCUAACCCCUGAGGACGAGGACUAGCGGAGCCGCGGAGGCAUGCUAACCUGAAAUAGGCGCCCAGCCCCCGAGGAUGAGGACUGGCGGAGCCAUGAAGGCACGCCGACUUGAAAUAGGUGCCAAGCCCCUGAGGAUGAGGACCAGCAGAGCCACGAAGGCACUCUGACCAGAAUUAGGCGUCCAGCCCCCGGGCAUGAGUGCGAGGAUUGGCGAAAGCACAUCGAGUUGCCUCCCUUCCCGGGCUCAGGCAGAGAGGUUGGUCGGGUGACGGGAGGCACACCAAGUCAUCAAUGGUGCCCAGCCGCCGAGCCUAGGAGCCGGACGAGUUGCAGAAGCAUGGCAAGUCACCUCUCGCCCCGAGCUAGAGAGGUCGGCCGGGCGACGGGAGGCACGCCGAGUCAUCUACGGUGCCCAGCCCCCGAGCCUUGGAGCCGGUUGAGCCACAGAAGCACGCCAAGCCGCCUCCCGCCCUGAGCCAGAGAGGUCGUUUGGGCGACGAGAGGCACGCCGAGUCGUCUGCGGCGCCUAGCCCUCGAGCUUGGGAGCCAGACGAGCCACAGAAGCAUGCCAAGUCGCCUCCUGUCCCGUGCUAGAGAGGUCGGCCGGGUGAUGGGAGGCACGUCGAGUAGUUUUUGAGCUGUAAAAGAACAAUACAAUCAUUAUGUAGCAUAAUGUAGAUCAUUUAAUCAUUGAACAACUCGGAAGUUUAAUUCGCUGUAGAAGUAAACUCUUGCGCAUCCUGCUCUUGUAGGCCAAGUAAUUUCCCUGGGUAGUUAUCUUGUUACGUUUAAGCACCUAGCCCUACUGACCACUGUUCACGGAGAGGAUGGUUUAUCUUAGGCUAUAGCACUGGGGCUGACCCGAUGCUCGCAUAUAGGAACGCACAGGAUGAGUCAAGGUUUCAUGGAUUGAGGCGUGUGCUACCCGAGUACUUUAGCAACCGUUAACAGGGAUGGACAAGUCGCAAAGCAACCGGAACUGUGCGGAAAAACACCAGCAUGAGUUGGGCACCCAUGGGGUGUAGCCCCCAGCCGCCCGUGUAGUGGACGGACCAAGCUGUAUAAGCAGUUAGGGUGCGACCAAGGUGGUCGGCGAAAGUCACGGAGAUAUAGGAGAGCCGAGGCGGUCAGCGAAAGUCACGACAACAUGGAGGAGCCGAGGCUUAUGUAGGUAUAUGGAAGCUGUAAAAUAUUUUAUUGUAAAUAAUACUUAGCUUGAUUCGUGGUCGAGUCAAAGAACCCGCGUGUCAUCUUCGCGUUUAGUCUUAGAAGCCCCUGAGCGUGGUCGGCGGACAGCUAUUGGUGAAGCAAACUAGUCGAGCUCCAUGCCCAACUAAUUCGUGUCGAGUUCGAGUUGUUGGAGUUGUCAGCGGCAGGUUUGUGGUUGCGAUUGUGGUAUGCUGUUGCCAAGUCGAUGCGGCCAUCGGGUCAUGUCCGGCUGGCCGCUACGCUCACAGUACAACAUGUCUGGGUUGUGCUGCCAAACCAAGGGUGCAUGUACAUCUUUUCGAACCUCGUAAGGAAGCCCUCACGUAUUAAGGAAAUCUAUACCUAAUAUUAAAGCUCCCGCAGCGUGCGCCUAUGCCACGUGCGGUGCGGACGGGUGUGCCGGCUGCGGCUGCGAGCUCCUCACUGCGGCAGGGACCAGGUCGAGCAGCGACAGUGAUGACAAAGGGGAGUAGUCCGCGUCUGCGUGCCGUGCCACCAUCGUCGGGCAAGGUGUGGCGGUGGCGGAGGGGGAGAGUGAGUACAUCGGCGUGCAGCCGCGGCCGUGGGGCAGGUGGGCGGCGGAGAUCCGCGACCCGCACCACGCCGUGCGCAAGUGGCUCAGCACCUUUGACACAGCUAAGGAUGCCACGCGCACCUACAACAUCACCGAUGUCGAGUUUCAAGGCCACUGCACCAAGAUCAACUUCCCCGACGACACGGCCCCCGCGCCCGCACCUUCCUGGGUGCCGACCUCGACAUACCACCGCCACGACCACCUGCCGCUGCCGCUGCCCGAGAGCCUACACGAGACCUGCGGGGCGAACGCAUCCUCGUCGGUGGAUGUGGCUCUUGCGGUAGCGGCGUCGGCCGAGCAGCACGGCACGAGGCCGGUGCCGAAGGAGCAGGACAUCUGGGACAGGCUGAACGAGUUCAUGAUGAUGGAUGACGGUAGCUUUUGGUCACCCAUGCUAUGAUCGUCACAUUCUCCUCCAUUCUCCUCUUGUUUUCACUUUCGUUGCUUAGCGGAUAAUGGUGGUCAGCUGGCCUCUGGUCUGUCGUCAAUCACCAGCCAUCCAUCGCUUUUAUAUGGUUUUACACUAGCUUUUGGGCUUUGACCACGCCCUCCACACCCAUACGAAACGACUAGGUAGAGUGAUGUUGAUCUACUGCUUGCCGCGCGCUAGGGCGAGUAGCUACUCACUCGGGCUAGAUGCCCUACCCGCCACCUGGACCUAAGAGGUGAAGGAGAGGAGGGAGGGGGAAGGAAACAAGGAGACGAGUGCCUCUUUGCAGUCAACCAAGUAGAGCCAUAUGCCAGCGAAGGCAUGGCGCCAGCGAGGGGGGGGGGGCGCAGCGGCAGUCGGCAGGCAACACAAAUAGGGGGCGGAGGUCGGGACCUCACAUCCCCCGCUCAAUGAUGUCCAUCCCCUUCAGAUCCAGAACUAAAGCCUCCACAUCUAGCAAUUGGGGGCUCGAUUUUGCACUUGAUUGGAACGAUUUGGAGUGGAUUAUAGAAGGGAAGUGGAUGGAAACGAGAAGAAGAGGAAAACACAUUCCUGCUCAUGGUGGCCAGAGGCGCGGUGGCCUAGCGCUCGAAGCAGGAAUGAGGCUAGGCACGGGAAGGACGAACGUUUGCCUGGGCGACGGUGAGGAUGGCAAGAUGCGUAGCGCCUGGACGAUGGCGAAGAUAGGGCACGAUGCGGGUGGCGCCGACGGACGAAGUGGCAUCGACUAGCUAGAUGACGAUGAGUACGGGGGAAAUCGAAUGAAUGGAUAGAGCGGAGGUUGAGUGGUGAUUUUUUUUAUUUCCAUGUGUGGGUCCCAUGUAAUAAACAGAUGGCAUCAAACCACCCACAAAUAUCUUCUACUACUGUACUAGGAUAACGCAUCAACAUAUGGUGAAGUGAAAUCAACAUAUUAGGAACAAGCGAAUAAUAAAGUGAGAGUAAGUAAGGACUUGAGCAACGUACAUGUAUUUCUGCUAGUAAGGAAAAAAAUUGUUAGCUGCCGUAGUAAGCACCAAGCAACGUAGGAGAUCUACUGGAUGGAAUAGAUUAAAUAAUAAAGGGAAGGGAGAAUUGUUCCUUCUUUUUGGCAGAUCCGACGUGUCUGCAUGCAACAAGUUAAGGUCAACGUGUUGUGCUAAAUCAACCGGAUCAGACCGGGGCCGGAUCAGGCGAGCUUGGCUGUGGCCGGGAUGAGGCCAAUAAGGGCGUCGCCCUUGACCUUGGCCUCCUGCGCCUCGCGGAUCUUCUACAUCUGGAGCAUCUGCUCCAUGAUGAGCUCGUACUGGCACUUCUUGUAGGCGUGGCGCUCGGGCUCGCACUUCCAGCGGAGGUAGAACUCGGAGGUGCACGCACUGGUCGUGGUAGGCGAGCGGCACCCAGGCCUCCGCCAUCUCCACCUGCGUGACGAUCUGGGGCUUCGAGGAGCCGAACUGAAUGCCGGCCAUUGCCGCCGCCUCCAUUUGUCACUUUGUUGCCCUCUCUCUUGCCGGCGAGGUCGUUCCGUUGAUAGAUGGGUGCUGCGGGUUUGGUGCGGCGUGGGUGGGUGGGGUGCAUCAAGGACGUGAGGAACCCUCUCGGAGAGAGAGAUUGCUGACCUACUAGGUAAACGGUGUGAUGAUCCUUUGAUAUAGACCUUGCUCCGCCGGAGUAAAUUCGACAGAUGCCAAGCUGGCGGCGGGCAUUGAGUCGAAGUCCACUAGCAUGCUCCUGAAGUGGAGCUGGAUCGGAUUGGUGAGGAAGUCCUUCAUGCUCUUGGGGAAAACAAUGUCGGGGCGGGAUGCCAUCGAGCUCGCUAGGGAGGAUCUUACAAUCAUCCCUACCUAGCGCACCAACUGUUGGAUUUAUAAGCCCGGUAGUCCACCAGGGGGUUACCCAAGUAGUUGAUUUGUAGGUGAGGGCAAUUGCAAAAUCAAGAACUCGAAGGUGAUCGCGAAAACACGAAGGGACACGAAGGUUUUAGAUAGGUUCGGGCCUCCGGAGAGUAAUACCCUAUGUCCUGUAUGCUGAUUUGUAUUGCUUGAGAUUGAUAUGAUUGUUGGGAUACCCUCGGGGGUGCCCUUGGCCGCUUUAUAUAGGCUGACGACCAAGAGUUACAAGUCGGUUUGAAUCUAAUCUACUCGGUAGUUACAUGGAAAGUAAUAUGAGUCAGACUACAAUACGCGUUCCAUGAUAUCCAGGCAUAUUUGAAUUGUCUUGUUGCUUUGACGUGCACUCCAAGUAACUUUAUGUCCUCGAUCCGCACGCCUUGGUCAGGUGGGCCCUACUUGUCAGGUCUGACCAGUAUCUUGAGGUACCCAUAUCUCUCACCUUGGUGCUCCGGCGAUUAGGGUCAGUGGCGAGGAUGGGGAUUGGAAGAGGAGAUCGAGGGGACUUUAUGGAGAUGCUCACCGGCGACGAGGCGGACAGAUUCUGGCAAGUAUUUGGCUGGCGGUGGAAGAACACGACAGCUGGCUCAAGUCUUCGUGAGUGAUGGUACUCCAGCGGUGGAGCGACGACGACGACUGGUGGCAGAGCUGCUCCUCGAUGUCACGGAGCUCCCUAAGGCUCUAGCUUGCUCCGAUGGUCGACGGGCACAACGAAUCGGCCAGAGAAGGACAUCAGUGGCUCCUAGCUCUGGCGGAUGUGGGGGAUGGCAGCGCUCGUGCAAGCUAGGAAGAGCGGCGGUGUGAGGCAGGGCAAUAGCAGGGGCACGAUCUCAACUUUUAUAUGUACGUGGGUCCGCGCCUGCCUUGGCACGCAUGCCGAGGUUCGGCGGUGGCGAUGCCCAAGUGCAGCUACGCUUGGCCUCGACCCGCUGGUGGUCGAUAUGCCUAGCGGGCCUAGCCGAGCCAUCAACUGGGCCGGGUCAGUGCAGGUUAGUUUGAGAGGGUCGGGCCCCAAAGACUUGGCCCCAUCGAUUAAGAUUUUUCUUUUUUUCAGAAAUGAUUUCUCGUGAAAGAAAAAUCCAGAAAAAUUCUAGAUAAUUAAUUUAAACAAUGAAAAAACUCUAAAAAUCCAAAAAUUUCAGGAAAAGUCAUCUCUAGUUUGGGACAUGAGGAGUCCAAAUAAAAUACUUGGAGCUCGUGAAAAGGAUUCUAGAACCUUCCAAAAAUUGGAUUUAGCUUUAGAAAAAAAUGAGAAUAAAUCUUAGAAAAAUCUGAAAAUUCUCAUAAGAACCUAAUCAGCAUCUAAACGCAUUCCAAAACUUUUGCACUUAUGAAAUACCAAGAUGCAUUGGUGUGAAUGCAACCCAUACACAAUCAUUAUAUUUAAUUCAGAAAAACACUCAAUUAUUUUCCUAUACUAAAUUUCCUGUCAAGAAAAUAAAUGUUGAAAUUUUUUUAAAAUUGUGAAAAAAUUAUUGUUUAAUUAUUCUUUUUAAUCACAUCCUGAAAUUUCAAAAUUUUUAAGGUGAGGCAGAUACCCUCAGGUUUACAGAAUUUGACAUCCAUGUGCAAAUUGGAUCUAUCCUUCCAUGAUCUGCAAGGUGAAGUGCCAAAAGUUUUUUUUUGGCAAAUGCAACUUACAUGUCGAUUUAUGGAAAUGAUCAGCUUUGUGGUGGAAAUACCUCAACUUCAUUUAGCUCCAUGCUCCAUGUCCAGUGCAAAAAAGAAAAAAAAGGAAAUUUGUCGAAAACCCUUGUGAUCACCCUAACAUCAAUCAGUGCAGUUGUAUUCUCAGUUUCAGUACUUACUGUAAUUGUGUUGAUCUGUAAGAAGCUUAGGAAAAGGCACGAAAGUCAACUCAUAUCCACAACUGAGGAACUGUAUGAAAGAGUUUCUUAUCAUGCUUUGUCAAAUGGGACCAAUGGAUUUUGAGAGGACAAUUUACUUGGACAAGGAAGCUAUGGCAUGGUUUAUAAAUGUACUUUACAUGACCAGGGCACUACAGUAGGCUACUGUAAAGGUGUUUAACACACAACAAUCUGGGACUUCUAGAAGUUUUGUCGCUGAAUGCGAGGCACUCAGAAGGGUGCGUCCUCGUUGUCUCGUAAAGAUCAUCACUUGUUGCUCAAGCAUCAAUCACCAGGGUCAAGAGUUCAAGGCACUAGUUUUUGAGCUCAUGCCAAAUGGUAGCCUAAAUGGUUGGCUUCACCCAGAGUCUGACACACUUACCCCGACAAAUAAUCUUAGCCUUGAACAAAGGCUACACAUUGCUGUCGAUAUCCUGGAUGCUUUGGACUAUCUUCAUAAUCACUGUCAGCCAUCAAUCAUUCAUUGCGACUCAAGCCAAGCAACAUCUUUCUUGCGGAGGACAUGAGUGAGUGCCCGAGUUGGAGGUUUUGGCAUACGAAGAAUCCUUCCAGAAAGUGCUAGUAAAACCCUGCAAAAUUUGAAUAGCACAACUGGAAUAAGAGGCAUCAUUGGUUAUGUUGCACCAGGUAAUGAAAGAGAUAUUUUUGGUAUUUGUAAAAUAUUCUUAGUUCUUACGUAUACAUGACCUGCUGACCUUUGGUUUUUUUCCCCAAUCAGAGUACGGUGAAGGUUCUUCUGUCUCAACUCAAGGUGAUGUUUAUAGCCUCGGCAUAUUGCUGCUUGAGAUGUUUACUGGAAGAAACCCAACAGAUGAGAUAUUCAAUGAUUCUUUGGAUUUGCACAAGUUUUCAGAGAAUGCUCUUCCAGAGAGAAUAUGGGAUAUAGUUGAUCCGACAAUACGGAUGCACACAGAUGCCUAUAACAGCACUAUAAGAAGUGGAAUUAAGAAUUGCUUGGUUUCUGUUGUUUCUCUUGGAAUAUCAUGCUCGGAGAAACAACCUAGGGAGCGGAUCCCGAUUCUGGAUGCAGCCAUUGAGAUGCACGCUAUUAGAGAUUCGUAUCUCAAGUUUGCCAGAUCUCUUUUGGUGGAGCAUGGAGUAGUAGCAACAACUCACAGUGAUUUUCCACAACAGUGAAUACAUAGGACUGAAAAUGCGCAAGAUGUCUGCAGGUGAUCAGUUUACCUGAAAUAACUGAAGAUGUAUGAAGCUUCAGCUUUAUAAUUUGUCCAUGCAUUUGUUUGCAUCAGAUAUAUGGAAGUAUAAAAUAAGUUUAGAAAAUGUUUCAAAAUAGAUUAGAUCCAGAGGUUUUAGUUGUUGUUUGUAUGACACAUUUUUGUAGAGAAUUCAGUAAUAUGUAUGAUUCAUAAUACAAUCAAUGCUCUGCAAAUUUCAGAUAGCACAAUUGGAAUAAAAAGCUCAUUCCUUGAUUAUGUUGCUCUAGGUAACUCAACUUAUUGUGGCCGGUUAUACAUGGUCUGGAAUGGGCAUCCGCUGAUGGAUUGAAACCUUGAACUGCUUCCGUGUGUUUUUUGUCAUCUAUAUAUUAUGGUUAGUCAACGGCAUGCAGUACACCCAUGCAUAUGAUUGCAGUAGGAUGACAUGGCGCGACCAGAACCCUUCUUUUGCCAGUUUUAGAUUCUUAUACACGGCCAACUGACGCAGCAGGGAGUUGCAUGCUAAGCAGUUCAGCGUAGGUGGUGAGUUCUCAACUCUGAUAUGGCUUAUGGAAGAACACUGUCACGGUGUCACCUAGCCGGUUGGAGGCCAACCUCUUACUAGGGACAGCAAUGGCCCUGUCCGGCCACUGUUUCGUGGCUGGUAUUAUUACCCCUAUGCAGUGAAUAUGACAUGUGGAUCUAUGUGUAUAUUAUGUCGUCAAAAGAACAUUAUAUGAACCGUUGAUCCACCUUUGAUUCUAUUAAUGUGUCAUGGUCAAUUGAUGUCAAACUCUAUUAUCUUCAAGUCUUAUUGUAUUGAUAAAAUCACGAUGCUGCUACUGCCAUUUUGAUGUUUAUAAAAGGGUAUUGAGAACCUGGUGGGUAUCCAUUCGAUGCGCAGGGUUGGGGGUGGGGAAAAAUGAGUGUAAAGGACAGGGAUGCAGUAUUUAGAAAGAAGGAAGCAAAAAAGGAAGCAUACCUCAAUCUCUGAAGAACAUAAAAGGUCUUGCAUUACUUAACCUAACAAUGAAUAAGCUAUCUGGUAGUAUUCCUGAUGCCCUUGCUAGCAUUGGCAACCUGCAACAACUGUAUCUAGCACACAACAACUUGUCAGGUUCCAUCCCCAAAGUUCUACAGAAUUUGACAUUGUUGGCAAAACUGGAUUUGUCCUUCAAUGAUCUGCAAGGCGAAGUGCCAAAAGGGGGUCCUUUUGCAAAUGCAACUCACUUGUCAAUUGAUGGAAAUGAUGAGCUUUGUGGCGGAAACCCUCAACUUCAGUUAGCUCCGUGCUCCACAGCUGCUGCGGGGAAGAACCGAAGGCGAAUGUCCAGAUCACUUAUGGUCACCGUAGCGUCAAUCUGUGCACUUCUAUUCUUAGGUUUAGUAGUUUUUCUUAUCCAUUUGAUCCACAAGAGGCUCAGACAAGGAAAGGAAAAUCAACUCAUUCCCACAGCAAUUGAUGAACAGCACGAAAGGGUUUCAUAUCAAGCAUUAGCAAAUGGGACUAACCAUUUUUCGGAGGUUAAUCUGCUCGGACAAGGAAGCUAUGGUGCAGUUUAUAAGUGCACUUUACAAGACAAGGGAAUUACCGCAGCUGUAAAGGUAUUCAAUGUGUGGCAAUCUGGGUCUACUAGAAGUUUUGUGGCUGAAUGUGAGGCACUGCGAAGGGUGCGCCACCGAUGUCUCAUAAAGAUCAUCACCUGUUGCUUAAGCAUUGAUCACCAAGGCCAAGAAUUCAAGGCACUGGUUUUUGAGUUCAUGCCCAAUGGUAACCUAAAUGGUUGGCUGCAUCCAGCAUCCAAAAUACAGAGUCUGAGCAAUACGCUCAGCUUAGCUCAGAGACUGGACAUUGCGGUAGAUAUCAUGGAUGCUCUGGAUUAUCUUCACAAUCAGUGUCAACCGCCUAUUAUCCAUUGUGAUCUCAAACCAAGUAACAUCCUCCUUGCCGAAGAUAUGAGUGCUCGGGUUGGAGAUUUUGGCAUAUCAAAAAUCCUUCCUGAUGACACUAGCAAAACUCUGCUGAAUUCAGUUAGCUUCACUGGACUAAGAGGUUCCAUUGGAUAUGUCGCUCCAGGUAACAGAAACUAACACUAUUAUUGCUAUGUUUAGUUUUUAACUUCCAUUUUGCCAAGUCCAGUUAUCUCGGCAUGCACGUUGAUAAGUAGCUUGCCAUGAAUCCACUGACCAAAUAGUGUCUGAAAUCUGAAUUGACUGCAGAGUACGGCGAGGGUCGCGCUGUCUCAACUCUUGGAGAUGUUUACAGCCUCGGCAUACUGUUGCUUGAGAUGUUCACCGGGGUGAGCCCUACUGACGACAUGUUCAAAGACUCCUUGGACCUUCAUAAGUUCGCCGAGGCCGCUCUCCCCGACAGAGCCUUGGAGGUAGCCGACCCGGCAAUCUGGCUUCAUGAAGAAGCAAAGGGGAAAGACCCUGCCACGGUGAGAAGCAGAAGCGAGGUGUGCUUGGCUUCAGUGAUCGGGCUUGGCGUGUCCUGCUCAAAGCAGCUGCCAAGGGAGCGGACGGCGAUGCGGGAUGCUGCCGCUGAGAUGCGUGCGAUCAGAGAUGCCUUCCUGGUUCAAUGUGCAACAGAGACUUGGCCUGCAGUCGGCACCACCGGCCUUGGAAGUGCAGACAGUUGAAUGGUGGACGGAGCUACGGUCUCUUGACGCACCAAGGAGCACCGGACUAGCAACUCUGCACCUAACAGAGUGGAGAAAGCGCCCCUUAAUGAAAAGAAAAACAGCCGGUGCAAGGCUUUAUACAAAGAAUGUGACAGCCACUGCGUGUAUCCGAGAGCCUUAUCUAAUCUACCGAGGAUUGUUGUGUAUGGAUGCGUAUAGAUUAU
rnacentral:lncRNA from 1 species